GAGUUUGAUCCUGGCUCAGGACGAACGCUGGCGGCGUGCCUAAGACAUGCAAGUCGAACGGUCCAGGCUUCGGUCUGGAUAGUGGCAAACGGCGGAGUAAUACAUGAGCAACGUGCCCCGAAGACCGGGAUAGUCGCUGGAAACGGCGGGUAAUACCGGAUGUGGCCGACGGGAGACAUCUCCCGUCGAUCAAAGGGAGCAAUCCGCUUCGGGAGCGGCUCAUGGCCUAUCAGGUAGUUGGCGGGGUAACGGCCCACCAAGCCUACGACGGGUAGCGGGUCUGAGAGGAUGAUCCGCCCGAGUGGGACUGAGACACGGCCCACACACCUACGGGUGGCAGCAGUCGGGAAUCUUGCACAAUGGGGGAAACCCUGAUGCAGCGACGCCGCGUGGAGGAUGAAGGAUCUAGGUCUGUAAACUCCUUUUAUCGGGAAAGACUUAGGACGGUACCCGAUGAAUAAGCACCGGCUAACUACGUGCCAGCAGCCGCGGUAAGACGUAGGGUGCGAGCGUUGUCCGGAUUCACUGGGCGUAAAGAACGCGUAGGCGGCCUGUUAAGUGUGAAGUGAAAUCUCCAGGGCUCAACCCGGAAACUGCUUCGCAUACUGGCAGGCUGGAGGAAUGCAGAGGUGAGUGGAAUUCCUGGUGUAGCGGUGAAAUGCGUUGAUAUCAGGAGGAACACCCGUGGCGAAGGCGGCUCACUGGGCAUUUCCUGACGCUGAGGCGUGAAAGCGUGGGGAGCAAACAGGAUUAGAUACCCUGGUAGUCCACGCCCUAAACGAUGGAUACUAGAUGUGAGAGGUAUACACCCCUCUCGUGUCGCAGCUAACGCAUUAAGUAUCCCGCCUGGGGACUACGGCCGCAAGGUUGAAACUCAAAUGAAUUGACGGGGACCCGCACAAGCGGUGGAGCAUGUGGAUUAAUUCGAUACUAACCGAAGAACCUUACCCAGGUUUGACAUGCGGCGGAAAUCCCAUGAAAGUGGGCCCCUCCGCAAGGAGCCGCCACACACUUGUUGCAUGGCUGUCGUCAGCUCGUGCCGUGAGGUGUACGGUUAAGUCCGCCAACGAGCGCAACCCUCGCCUCAUGUUGCCAGCGGGUAAUGCCGGGAACUCAUGAGGGACCGAUGGUGUAAGCCAAAGGAAGGUGGGGAUGACGUCAAGUCAGCAUGGCAGUUACGCCUGGGGCUUCACACAUGCUACAAUGGGCGAAACAAAGGGCAGCAAUGCCGCGAGGCGGAGCAAAUCCCAAAAAUACGCCCCCAGUUCAGAUUGCAGUCUGCAACUCGACUGCAUGAAGGCGGAAUCGCUAGUAAACGCAGGUCAGCCAUACUGCGUUGAAUACGUUCCCGGGUCUUGUACACACCGCCCGUCAAGUCACCUGAAUCGUCUUCACCCGAAGUCCGUGGCCCAACCGCAAGGAGGGAGCGGCCGAAGGUGAGGGGGGUAAGGGGGACUAAGUCGUAACAAGGUAACCGAAGGGCGA
rnacentral:rRNA from 1 species